UAAACAUGUUAAGAAGCAGCAACAAAAAUAAUUUCAUGGUUGGAGGUCACCUCUCCUGAACUGUAUUAAAGGGUCACAGCAUUAGAAAUGUUGAGAACCACAGAUCUAGAGCCUCAAUAAGGGUUUGUCUAGUUCCAGUUGGUCUAUCGGUAUGUCUGGGGGGGGGGGGGUGAGGAUUGAUUUGAUUACUUCAAUUGAUGUGGGAAAACCUGUCCCACUAUGGGCAGCACCAAUCCUUGGGCUUGGGUUAGUACCAAAAUGAGCUAAGCAAUAAAAAUUCAUGUAUUCGUUCUGUCUGCUCUUCACUACAGGUGUACGGUGACUGACUGCUUCUAGGACCUCUGCCUUAACUUUCUUGCUAUAAUUGAUAGCAUCCUGGAAUUGCGUGCUAAAAUGAACUCUUUGGUGCAGUGGACCAUGAAAGGUUCUCCUAGAACUGGAGAUACAGGCAAUUGUGAGCUGGGAAUCAAACUCGGGUCCUUUGCAAGAGCAAUGCACAAUACGCUUAACUUCUGAUCCACUUCUCCACUCCCCAGUUGGGUGUUUUACACUAUGUUUACCUCAUGUUAUGGAGAAGAAUAAAAACUGUCUGUCUGUGAUAGAAGCCACAUGAGCAGCCAUGGAGGCUGGAGAAGUGUUACCAUCUUGACACGAGUGAAAGUUGAGUUCUGCUAAGCAAAGCUGGAGAAAAGCUAAGUGCACACUCGCGUUGAUUGUUUGAGCCGAUGAUGGAAACAUUGUUUCAGCUGCUGGAGCCUGGCGUGGAGGAGUGUGGAUAGCUGUUGAAGUUCCCAUAAUCCAGGCACAAGUGCUUCAUCAUGAACACAGCAGAAGAAUAAAGACCCAGUUAAGCUAAAGGGCCUGAAAAGAAGAUGAAACUUCUGCUUCAAUAAAAUGCUGGGAUUUGGCAUUGCUUUUUAUUAUUAUGUUUAUUCCUUCUCUUUUGCACAAUUACAAAAGUCUGUUUCCCUGGUUAAAAUUGGUUUUCAAUUGCACAUUAUAUCAUUUUAAAAUUCUCACCGUAAGAAUAAAAACUUGC
rnacentral:lncRNA from 1 species